CUAUUCCCAAAAAAAAAUCUCUAAUAGUCUAGCUUUAGAGUUGAAGUUGACAGUUUUAGCAUUAUAUUUCUCUUGAACAGCUCAUUGCUAAGAAGUGAAUAAAAAGAAGAAAAGGAAGAAAAAAUAAAUAAUGGGAGGAUUAUUAGUAGAGGUUAAAAUGGACAUUUCAAUUAAGGAAAUAAUAGAGGCUACGAUUUUCGACAUAACAAGAUGCAGAAAAAGAAUAUAUGUGGCUGACCCUAAUCUUGUUGAGGAUCCUUAGCCGACCCCAAACAAUUUGGGACUAGGACUUUGUUUUGUUGUUACAUCUUGAACCCCUUCAUCAUGCUUGAUAGUUUACCAACAACAAUAUGGAAUCUUCAAAACCAAGAUUCAGAACAUUACCCGCUGGCAAAAAAAAAUUUAAAAGAAAAAAGAAAUUUGUAAAGAAAAUGGAUGAUCUUGCUAGUGACUAACAUGUCAUUUCCAUAGUGAAUAAUAGACGUUUAUGAAUCAGCAAUACUAAAUUGGAUAACAAAACAAAUGAUAUUUCUAGCUAGAACUAGUCAAGGAAGAAAUCGUAGGACUGAUUCUCUUCUUCUUUUUCUCUUUUUCUUUAUUUAUGGUUUGUAAAAUUUGAAAGGUGGUUUUGUAAGUCUUGGUUUUGUUGCAUCUAUUUCAUGUUCAUUCUAUGAUAUAUGUCAUUUAUAUUAAUAUUGUUUAUGUCAUUGCAUCCUUCGACAGCAUUUCAAAAAAAUUUAUCCGCCGGUGAUACAUAGCAUUUCUUUUGAUAUAAGAGCCAAUGGUGGCUUCUGAUUUGGUGCAGGAUUCUUGUCCAUUGUCAAGCAUAUUGAUACAACCCAAGUUUGGGGCCUAUUCUUCUUGUAGUGAUCUAAGCACUAGUUUUCAAUCAGCCAAAAUUUGACACCUAAACACGUACAUAGUUGAAGGCAUCAUAUUUUGAGGAUAUUUAAGCUAUGCCAGAGUGGUGGGUUAGCUUUUUUAUCUGCUCGGGAGCAGAAUUUUGGGGUACAAGAAUGCUAUUAUCUGGCAGCAAAAGAAGAGGUAUAAUUCCAUCUAAAUGACAUGCUGUUUGGUGCUAACCAAGUGAAAGCUUUGUAAGAGAGUUCAAGUGAAGUUAUUGCCAUGUGAUGCUCUCACUUUAAAAGAAAAGCUGGAUAUUUCUUAUUGCGCACAGUCCAGAUGGGUGUUUAACUUGAUGACGAUGUGAUUGGAGUUCAUACAAUUGAUUGGUUGGGCAGCCUUUUCUCUCUUUGACCGGUAAGAAAAAGCUUACGUAAAAACUGGAACCCUCUCUUCCGCUAUUGGUGGACUGUUGCAUUGUUGACAUUUCUGUCACCAGACCAAAUUGCAGUAGCUGUCCAUCCAUAAUUGCCCCAAGGAAAGAUGUGCUUGAGUUGACGCUAAUUGGUUCGACUACCGAGUGGAUAAAAGGGGAAGCUGUUUGAAGUUCACAUAUAUAUUGUUAAAACAAUAUGGGUUACUUUUGGCAGAAGAUAAAGUUCCCAAUAAAGAGGAGAAUGUUGAAAUUUGAAUAUGGGUUUUGCUUACUGCCCAAACAUAGAAUGGAUAGCUAAUGUAUUGCACUUGUUGAACAAGAUUCUAUGGUUGGUCCACAAUCCUUGGAUACUGAAGGAAUCCAUGGUCUCAUCUCGUAGUUCCUACUAGUUGGCACCAGAAUGCUGACAACCAACAAUAUGUAAUGUGAGGCUUAGCUUUUACGCCAUUUCCUAUCUAUAUACUAAGCAAUGGAUCCUUUUUACUAAACAGAAUUCGUAUUUAUUCAUCCACCUAUUGAAUCUUAUGUUGUUAUCAUGGCUUCAGCCAGUGACUUCAACAUUUUACUGUACAUUGAGCCUAGCUGUCCUACUUAAGAGGCCAACUUGUUUGCUGUCAUACAAAUGUUUGGAGGAUAUUUCCCUACAGUUAGUAGUUAAAGUAAUGGACGUAUUUCUAUUUAAGUUGACUUAUAUUUGUUAUCAAUUAGUAACAUAUGGUUUAGACAUUAAUUGUAUUACUAACAAAUAUGGCUUUAAAUUUCUAACAACUAAGUCAAUUAAGUUGACUUAUAUUUUACCCGUAACUAGCCAAAGAUGCAAUAGUUGAGAA